UACGUAGGAGGCGAGCGUUGUCCGGAGUUACUGGGCGUAAAGGGUGCGCAGGCGGCGGUUCGCGUGGAUAGAUGAAAUCUCCUGGCUUACCUGGGAGGAUGGUAUCCAGACGGGAUCGCUUGAGGGUCGGAGAGGGGCGUGGAAUUCCGGGUGUAGCGGUGGAAUGCGUAGAGAUCCGGAAGAACACCGGUGGCGAAGGCGGUCUGCUGGGGUCGAACUGACGCUGAGGCGCGACAGCGUGGGGAGCAAACAGG
rnacentral:rRNA from 1 species